rnacentral:rRNA from 1 species
UACGUAGGGGGCAAGCGUUGUUCGGAUUUACUGGGCGUAAAGGGCGCGUAGGCGGCGCGGUAAGUCACUUGUGAAAUCUCUGAGCUUAACUCAGAACGGCCAAGUGAUACUGCAGUGCUAGAGUGUGGAAGGGGCAAUCGGAAUUCUUGGUGUAGCGGUGAAAUGCGUAGAUAUCAAGAGGAACACCUGAGGUGAAGACGGGUUGCUGGGCCAACACUGACGCUGAGGCGCGAAAGCCAGGGGAGCAAACGGG